rnacentral:tRNA from 2 species
GUGCCCGGUGCGCAGGAGACGAUUACUUCCACUGCUAAUGGGGUGGUCCCGGGUUCGAGUCCCGGUCGGCACU